rnacentral:lncRNA from 1 species
GAAUCCCAAAUCCAGUUUUGGGGUGUCCAUGGGAACCCCGAAUCCCGGUCUGGGGUGUCCGUGGGAAUCCCAAAUCCAGUUUUGGGGUGUCCAUGGGAACCCCGAAUCCCGGUCUGGGGUGUCCGUGGGAAUCCCAAAUCCAGUUUUGGGGUGUCCAUGGGAACCCCGAAUCCCGGUCUGGGGUGUCCGUGGGAAUCCCAAAUCCAGUUUUGGGGUGUCCAUGGGAACCCCGAAUCCCGGUCUGGGGUGUCCGUGGGAAUCCCAAAUCCAGUUUUGGGGUGUCCAUGGGAACCCCGAAUCCCGGUCUGGGGUGUCCGUGGGAAUCCCAAAUCCAGUUUUGGGGUGUCCAUGGGAACCCCGAAUCCCGGUCUGGGGUGUCCGUGGGAAUCCCAAAUCCAGUUUUGGGGUGUCCAUGGGAACCCCGAAUCCCGGUCUGGGGUGUCCGUGGGAAUCCCAAAUCCAGUUUUGGGGUGUCCAUGGGAACCCCGAAUCCCGGUCUGGGGUGUCCGUGGGAAUCCCAAAUCCAGUUUUGGGGUGUCCAUGGGAACCCCGAAUCCCGGUCUGGGGUGUCCGUGGGAAUCCCAAAUCCAGUUUUGGGGUGUCCAUGGGAACCCCGAAUCCCGGUCUGGGGUGUCCGUGGGAAUCCCAAAUCCAGUUUUGGGGUGUCCAUGGGAACCCCGAAUCCCGGUCUGGGGUGUCCCCGCCCCCGCCGAUGCCUCCCGUGCCCCGCAGCGCUCCUGGUGCAGGGACAGUUCAGCAGGUUCGAGGGCAUCACCUAUCCCGAGCCAGCCCAGUACUCCCAGUACGACCAGCAGGCAGAAAUUCAGGAUUACUACGACUACCAUGAUGUCACCCCCCGAGCCCCAGAGGAGCAGUUCCGGUUCCAAUCCCAGCAGCAAUCCCAGCAGGAAACCGUGCCAGCCCCGACCCCAGGUGGGUGACAGCCCCCGGGGUGGGUAACAGCCCCCCGAGAUAGAUGACAAUCCCCCAGGGUGGGUGACAGCCCCCGGGGUGGGUAACAGCCCCCCGCCCCCCCCCCCCCCCCCCCCCCCCCCCCCCCCCCCCCCCCCCCCCCCCCCCCCCCCCCCCCCCCCCCCCCCCCCCCCCCCCCCCCCCCCCCCCCCCCCCCCCCCCCCCCCCCCCCCCCCCCCCCCCCCCCCCCCCCCCCCCCCCCCCCCCCCCUGUCCCCUGUCCUUUGUCCCCUGUCCCCUGUCCCUCUGUCCUCUGUCCCCCUGUCUCCCUGUCCCUCUGUCCCUCUGUCCCCCUGUCCCGUUUCUGGGCCGGGGGAGGCGCUGGCUGAGGAAUUCCCGGGAAUUCCCGUUUCCCAGACUGCCGGGAGGAGCAGUACCCCUGCACCCGGCUCUACUCCGUGCACAAGCCCUGCAAGCAGUGCCUGAACGAGAUCUGCUUCUACAGGUGCGUGAGGGAGGGGAAACGUUCCCUGAUCCCUCUGCAGGUUUGGGGAACCCCUCUGCUUUACAUCCCCAUCCUUCCUAUCCCCCAAAAAUUCCAGCCUCCGCCGGGUGUACGUCAUCAACAAGGAGAUCUGCGUCCGCACCGUGUGCGCCCACGAAGAGCUGCUGCGAGGUGAGAGGGGGCACCCCGAAAAUCAGGAUCAUCCCCUUUUUUGGGGAGGGAAAAUCCCGCUGGACGAAAGGUCCGGGGACCCCCGGGGCAGAGCGGGAUCGCGCUUUGGGGUGGGGCUGCGCUGGGGGCCUUCCCCCGCUGCUCUCCCGGAGUUUUCUCGGAGCCAUCCAGGGACAAUCCCUCGCUCCCCGCAGCCGACCUGUGCCGGGACAAGUUCUCCAAGUGCGGGGUGAUGGCCACGAGCGGCCUGUGCCAGACGGUGGGAGCGUCCUGCGCCCGCAGCUGCGGCGGCCCCCCCCCCCCCCCCCCCCCCCCCCCCCCCCCCCCCCCCCCCCCCCCCCCCCCCCCCCCCCCCCCCCCCCCCCCCCCCCCCCCCCCCCCCC